AAAAAUAUUUUUUAAAAAUUGAACAAAGCAUCUAAGAAUUAUGAGAUUAUGUGAAAUGGCCAAACCUAAGAAUGAUUGGUGUUCCUGAAGGAGAAGAGAAGACUAAAAGUAUGGA